UACAGAGGGUGCAAGCGUUAAUCGGAAUUACUGGGCGUAAAGCGUGCGUAGACGGUUAUGUAAGUCAGGUGUGAAAGCCCCGGGCUCAACCUGGGAAUUGCAUUUGAGACUGCAUAGCUAGGGUGCGGAAGAGGGAAGCGGAAUUUCCGGUGUAGCGGUGAAAUGCGUAGAUAUCGGAAGGAACACUAGUGGCGAAAGCGGCUUCCUGGUCCAGCACCGACGUUCAGGCACGAAAGCGUGGGGAGCAAACAGG
rnacentral:rRNA from 1 species